UAGGGAAUCUUCGGCAAUGGACGAAAGUCUGACCGAGCAACGCCGCGUGAGUGAAGAAGGUUUUCGGAUCGUAAAACACUGUUGUAAGAGAAGAAUGACAUUGAGAGUAACUGUUCAAUGUGUGACGGUAUCUUACCAGAAAGGAACGGCUAAAUACGUGCCAG
rnacentral:rRNA from 1 species